UACGGAGGGUGCUAGCGUUGUUCGGAAUUACUGGGCGUAAAGGGCGCGUAGGCGGCCGUUUGCGUCGAAUGUGAAAGCCCGGGGCUCAACCUCGGAACGGCAUUCGAUACGGGACGGCUGGAGACCGGGAGAGGAGAGUGGAAUAGCCAGUGUAGAGGUGAAAUUCGUAGAUAUUGGCUGGAACACCGGUGGCGAAAGCGGCUCUCUGGCCCGGUUCUGACGCUGAGGCGCGAAAGCGUGGGGAGCAAACAGG
rnacentral:rRNA from 1 species